rnacentral:rRNA from 1 species
UUGAAGUUCACCUAUGUGGUGGUUUGCUGGGAAGGGUCAACACAUGAUGCUAACAUUCUCGGUGACAGCCUGAGUCAUCCUGAUGGCAUCAACAUCCUCGAUGGCAAGUUCUACCUAGGAGAUGCUGGCUAUGCAUGUCGGUCAGGUGUUCUUCCACCAUUCAGGAAAACCAGGUACCAUCCGAAUGAGUUCGCUGGUAGGAACUAUCCUAGGACUCCACAGGAGUUGUUCAAUCUCAGACACUCAGCCUUAGAGUUACUAUUGAGAGGGCCUUUGGAGCUCCAAAGAACAAGUUUAAGAUCCUAG